GACGAACGCUGGCGGCGUGCCUAACACAUGCAAGUCGAACGGGACCAGGGGCAACUCUGGUUCAGUGGCGGACGGGUGCGUAACACGUGAGGAACAUGACCUUCGGCGGGGGAGUAGCCGGCCCAACGGCCGGGUAAUACCGCGUACGACCUUUCGGGGACAUCCCUGGAUGGUGAAAGCAGCAAUGCGCCGAUGGAGUGCCUCGCGGCCUAUCAGCUAGUUGGGUGGGGUAACGGCCCACCAAGGCAACGACGGGUAGCUGGUCUGAGAGGAUGGCCAGCCACAUUGGGACUGAGACACGGCCCAGACUCCUACGGGAGGCAGCAGUGGGGAAUAUUGCGCAAUGGACGAAAGUCUGACGCAGCGACGCCGCGUGUGGGAUGAAGGUCUUCGGA
rnacentral:rRNA from 1 species